ensembl:lncRNA
ACCUAGAGUCUUAUCCAAUAAGACAACAACAUAAUUUAAGGAGAGCGCAAUUGACCGCCAGAUUCUGGAAGACUGUUUAGCCACAUGCGACCUUUGCCACUGAGUCAGGCAUACUGAGAAGAGUCCUAUGGGGAGUCCUAUGGUCCUAAAGACUGUCUUGGCUGACGGAACCUGUCGAAGGCUCACUCUCUAAUGGAGCGCCCGAAUCAACUGAGGAUCUCAUCGUUGAAGUCAAGAGACAGUGUGGUCUUCAGGGCAGUUUCAGACUUCAGUUUAUGGAUUCCUUGUUUGGGAAUGAGUUUCUUAACCUUACCUCGGUUUCAGAAGUAGCAGACAAAGGGACUCUUAAAGCUAUUGACAUGGACAUAAAAAGAGUAACAGAGUUGGUGAAACUCAAGAUGGAAGAGACUUUUUCAUACAGAAGACAUGAAGUUGUUCGUGAUGCACCAAUGGUGGAGGCUGCCUGCUCUAUUUGAUUUCCAUGAGAUCAACGCUGAGUUUAAGAGAAUUGCCACCAUCCCCCUCAAAGUUCCUGGCUCAGCUGGAUUUCCACUUGGACAACCUGGUGAAGUUGGUCAACAGAAGAGGAGAGCUUGGACUAAUACUGGAAAGAAUUGUGGCACAAAUGGAUAAUUGUGAAGAUGUUGAUGCUGGACGUGAGUGUGUCAAGGGAGUGUGUAUCUACAUGGGUGAAGACCCUGGCAUGCUUAUCCGGGAGUAUGUGGUAUGUACUUGUCUUUUUUCUUUUCUUUUUUUCGGACUUUCCACAGUGUGUCAUAUUACUUACUUGGCAUGAAAUGACUAACAUGGCUUCUUUUUUACAGGGCAUGGAAGAACGUGCCAUCAAUGAGACUGUUGAAGACACCACUGUUCGAAUUUAUCUUAAAGAGCAAGCUUCAGCAGAAGAACAAGAGUUGUCCUUGCAGGCAUCAGGGUGGCGAAGAAUUUGGAUAAUGUAGCAUUUGCUGUGAUAAUGCUAUUUGGACUCAUGUAUGCAUUAAACCUUGCCUACCCUGCUGACCUCCGCUACACCUUUGACGUUUUCCAGAAGGUUUUCAUGGAACUGGAUGGAGCUAAACUCUCUAAAGUUCUUGCUUUUAAAAACCAUCUGUUUCAUUGAGAAGUCAAAGACAGCACUUCUGCAAUUCUUUGCAGUUUUUCAUUUUGUGUUCAGUAACGUUAUACUGCUUAUGUUUUUAUUGCUUUCCCCUCAUGUGACUGCAAUGCAGGAAGAUUUUUCCUUUUGGUAUCAUGUUGUAAGAAAUUUUUACUGACGAUUUUUAGCAAUAUGUUCUGAGUCAACCUUAAUGUCCUGCUUACAUGUUUAAAAGGAAGAUUAAGAUUCAUGUAGGUGUUUGGUAUUAGUUAUGUAACAAUAUCAUUUAAGGCUCAACUUAGUUGAA